rnacentral:rRNA from 1 species
GAUGAACGCUAGCUACAGGCUUAACACAUGCAAGUCGAGGGGAAACGACAUCGAAAGCUUGCUUUUGAUGGGCGUCGACCGGCGCACGGGUGAGUAACGCGUAUCCAACCUGCCCACCACUUGGGGAUAACCUUGCGAAAGUAAGACUAAUACCCAAUGACGUCUCUAGAAGACAUCUGAAAGAGAUUAAAGAUUUAUCGGUGAUGGAUGGGGAUGCGUCUGAUUAGCUUGUUGGCGGGGUAACGGCCCACCAAGGCGACGAUCAGUAGGGGCUCUGAGAGGAAGGUCCCCCACAUUGGAACUGAGACACGGUCCAAACUCCUACGGGAGGCAGCAGUGAGGAAUAUUGGUCAAUGGACGAGAGUCUGAACCAGCCAAGUAGCGUGCAGGAUGACGGCCCUAUGGGUUGUAAACUGCUUUUAUAAGGGAAUAAAGUGAGUCUCGUGAGACUUUUUGCAUGUACCUUAUGAAUAAGGACCGGCUAAUUCCGUG